rnacentral:lncRNA from 1 species
UGGGUAGGGGUUCAGUAUUUGAAAAUAAUUUUAAAUUUUAUAAAAUAUUUUUAUAAUUAUUUUUCAUGCAUAAUUAUUUAGAUCUGAAAUUUGAAUUAGCUCACUCCUGGAUUGAGCCGACUCACCACAAUGGAUCGACUAAGUUUCGAGACUUAGUUGACUCAUUGAUGAUAAACUAUUAAUCAUAAUUUUCAAUCUAUUUUAUUAAGUUAACU